rnacentral:rRNA from 1 species
UACGUAGGGAGCAAGCGUUGUCCGGAAUCAUUGGGCGUAAAGCGCGCGUAGGUGGCCUCAUAAGUCCGCUGUGAAAGUCAAAGGCUCAACCUUUGAAAGCCGGUGGAUACUGUGGGGCUAGAGUACGGAAGAGGCGAGUGGAAUUCCUGGUGUAGCGGUGAAAUGCGCAGAUAUCAGGAGGAACACCAAUAGCGAAGGCAGCUCGCUGGGACGUUACUGACACUGAGGCGCGAAAGCGUGGGGAGCGAACAGG